rnacentral:lncRNA from 1 species
CAAGCUAAAAUCGGAUCGUUCCCCACCCCUCCCUCAUCCAAUAACUUCCUUAUCCUUUCUCAAUCUUCUCUCAAACGAUCAUUACUCACACCAUUGUUGAUUUUCAAUCCGGCUCCAACCAACUCUUUUCUCAUGUCCACCGUCGCCAGAGGGUAGUGUGAUGUUUCCUUUCAGCCAGCUCCAAUACCGCAUGGUUUUGAGUGAGCUCCAUCGUCUCAGGGAUGCUUUACCCGUUCCUUGAAUGAUCGUCUUCAUCACAAGCUGCUUAGAUUCGCCGAUUGUCAUCGAUUUCUAUUCACCAUUGCAGCAACACAACCUCCACUCCGAUGCAUCAAGGUAGCGACAACCCAACAACAUAGGUUAUUUUUGGUUUUACUAAUUAGAGCGUCGGUUGUUUUUUGGUCGAUUUUUUUCUUAUUUUGGUUGAUUGUUUCUCUCAUUCAUCUUAAUCUGUUAAUGUUUCAUCUAUUCACUUUAUUUGAUGUGGAGGAUGCGUUUAUUGAAGAAGAUAUGACAUUUAUUAAUGAACGGUCCGACGGUUCAAAAUUGUUGAAUAUUGGCUUGUACUUGAAAGGUCAAAUAUUAAAAGUCAAAUAUGGAUUCAUAAUUUACUGUGAAAGAAUUGUUCAGAUGUUUCUCAGUGCUUCAUUAUGUCCAUAAUUUGUUGAUACUUCUUUAUAAGUCAGAUUGAUAUAAAAUUGCUUCAAAUGCAUACAAUAUGUGUCAUCUCAUCAGUAUUUUGGUUUAUUUGGAUUUUGUUAAGCCAUAUUUACAUGAUGUGAAUGUCCCAAAAACAUUUGCAUUGUAUAUAAACAUAAAUAUGUAAAGUUGUCCUUUACAAGAUGUGAAUGUCUCAAUAUAUGACUAUAAUACCCUUCAUUUGAUUCUUGUCUUUCAAUAGGUUCAUGGAUGACGGAUAUACAAGCAAUGUAUAUAGACGAAAACAUUUUUGUUUGAAAUAGCUCUAGACAAGGUAAACAUGCUUCCAUGUUAUUUCUUUCAUAUCUAAUUUAAUUAUUUGACUAAUAUUCAAACAUAUUUAUUGAUUAAAUGUGUGGAUGAAAUUUUGUUCCUAUAUAAGUUGUGUUCAUUGGGUUGAUUAGAGGGUUAAAUCAUGGAAACAAUUGUUUGCAGCUAAUUCCUUUCCAUUUAGCAAUACUAUUUGGCUGUGCAAAUCUCAAUUUUUUGCUAUUAGAUGAAACUUUGUGUGAUUGUUUUAGUGAUGUUUAAAAAAGAAAUCUCGAUAUUUGUUGUGUUAAUACCAUCUAUGUUCAUCAAUAGCAACGUGAUCCAUGUCUGUAAAAAUUAAGACUUUUUUAAGUUAGUGAAGAAAAGAAGAGGUAAAUUUUGAUUUUUUUUAAAUUUGUUUUAGUCUAUUACUUGAAAUUUCAUUUUUUAUUUUCAUACUUUGAUUCUUUGACAUUUCUUAACUUAGGUUCGUAGUUGUAAUUUAGGAAUUCUUCCAUUUGAUAGUGCUCGUGUGGGAUCUAUUAAACACCUCAUUUCCAUGAUUUUCACUGUUCGGUUCUUUAUGUAUUGAGUAAGAAAUAAACACCCAUAAUCCCAUAAAUAGCUUACGAGAUUAAGUCUUUAUCCAACUUAAUCGCAUUAAGUAUAAAAAAAAAAUAAAUAAAUAAAUAAAUUGCUAAAAUAGCAAUAUACUUUUCUCUGGUUUAUAAAUAUGAGCAACAUACUUUAGUUUUAAGUUUUAUCCUAUAAUACCAACAUACCUUUAAUUCUCCAACCAAUUUAAUCAAUACAUGUUUUUUAUGCCUUACCGAGAAUGCUGACGUUGCAUUUCUUCUAGAACUGCCACAUAAUCUUACAAAAGGCAAAUGACAUAUAAGCAUUGUGAAUGUCAGCGGUUUGAGGUUGUCUGCAGAUCGCAAUGCCUUAUGCAAAGGAAGUUAAGAUACAACUAUUAAGAUUAGUGGCGAAGCCAAGGUCAAAGUAAAAGGGUAUUCCAAUUCGGUUCCUCGCUUUCAAGUUUAAACCCAAAUUCAUUCGAAAGUUUGAGAAGUUUGUGUUGCUUAUAUAAUAAAUGUAUAGGAGUUGUAUUUCAUGUUAUGGCCAAUGUGGGACAAUUUUAGAAUUAUAAGAAACAAGUUGAUGGAAUAUAAGAUAAAAACUAAAAAUAAAAUAAAAUACACCCGUGUUAAAGCCAAGAUUCGAAAAAGAGACAUCCAAGUUAAAAGUUGAACACUUUACCACUUGUACAACUCGGUACUUGUGUUUAAUUUUCACAACAUCAUAACAUAAUCGGUAUAAAAUCUGUAUAAUACUGUAUAAACUCUUUUUAUAUUGCUACGAAAAUAAAAGAAAAGAAAUGUUAGAAAGAAGAUUCGAGCUUUCAACCUUCAGAAUAAGGCCCAAUCACCAUAACCACCUAAACCAACUACAACUUUUAUUGUUAUUUUGCUAAACAUAUGUAUAUUAAGGACCGCAACAUAAACGAAACCUUCUUAAAAAAUUUAUACUAUUGAAAAUUUUUUGAGGGGCAUCCCGGGAUACCCCGGGAUCCAAUGUAGAUCUCCCCAUGAUUAAGGUUGGAAUUAGAUCAAACAAAAUCUGGAAUCUUCAAUUUUGUUCCUAUAUUGAAACAUGGUUAGGAGAUGGAUCCUAUAAACUUUGAAAAGUAACUCAGGUUAAUUCAUACAUUUAUUAUUUGUUUGAAGGAAACUUGCAAGAAAUAAUAUAAUGGCUUUUUGGUGUGUGAUGAACCCAUUCCAGGCCAAUGCAACAUGGUGUUUAUAGUUACGAUCAAACACUUUCAAAUAUGAUAAUUAAUAGGGUAGAUUUUUCAAAGUAUAACAUCCUAAUUUAAAAAAUGAAAUGACAUAAUUGCCCCUAAUAUGAAUUAGGUGGUGUUUGGCUAAGCUUUUUAAAACAACUUACUAGGUUCCAUACCACUAUAAGUUAAAAAAAUGUUUAGAUGAAAAUAACUUAUUCCGUUGGGGAAUCUCUAAUAAGUCAUUUUUUCAUAAGUUACCAUACACUUACUUAUUAACAUAUAAGCUAAUAAGCUAAUAAGAAAAAAGUUUUUUUUUUUUUGCCAAACACCCCCUUACUCUUACUUUUUUUAUUUACAUAUCUUUGUUUUUGCAUUUCUUGGAUUUACAUCUUACAUUUAGUUUUCCUGCGAAAAAUUUUAUAUAAAUAAAUAUUCGGUCUUUGUACUCUACUUGCUGGAAUAUUGAUGUAACAUUGGGUCUUCGAGAAAAAUAUUUAGAACCUCUCUAUACCAAGAAAAUGCUAAAAAUCCAAGGUGAAUUUAAGCUUUUCAUGCUCAUCGUUGCCUUAAUAAGCAACAAAAUCGUCAUUUUUCUGACUAGGGUUUUGGAGAUCACAACAUAUGUUGUGAACCCUUUGUAGCUCAAGAAACCUCAAUCUUAACACUCAAAUACCCAAAUCAACACAAGAAAGUAGCCAUCAAGAUCUAAGAGUCGAGGUUAGUUUAUCCUUCCAUCUUCAUAUAUACAAGACUUCUCAUAAGGUAUUCAACUUUUCUCUGAAAUACUCUCUUCGCAACUUGUUACAGGUGAAGCGGACAACUGAUUGGACAAUCCUCCCAUCAUAUAUAAUACCUCAACCCACCAUUCUGAUCCAUGCGGAGCGGGGGCUCCUUACUCUCUCUCUCUCUCUCUCUCUCUCUCUCUCUAUAUAUAUAUAUAUAUAUCAACAAUCUAAAAAUGUGUAGCUAAAUUU